GAAGUUAUUAUUAAUAUUAUUAUACAUUUUGAAUUUUAGUUGAGUGGUAUUUGUUUCAAAAUAGGAAAUCAAGUUGUUUUCCUAAUUCUUAUUUGUAUACCUUAUGUGGAAUGUAAACCCCUAAACCCCAUCUUCCCUUCUCGGUUGUUUAGAUACCAAACCCUCACUUAUCUUCUAAAACCAAAACCCCAACCCGUGAAAAACCCAAAACCCCAAAUCAAUCACCCUUGUUUUAACCGGUGGUAUCUCUAUCCCUUCGCUGCUUCGUUGCGGUCUGCUAGACCAUCAGCGCUACCGCCGACGUUUUUCGAGGUUCUCGGAGAUUUCGUGCCGUUCUCUCCUUCCUCGAAACACUCUUUCUCUCUCGUAUGUUGUGGGUUUGAUGCUACUGGCCGACGCUACUCCUCACUCCUCUCUUAUCGGUGUCGCUGUUGUUCUUCACCAGUGUUUGUGCGUGGGUGCCGCUCACUACCGCUUUCCUUUCUUCAAUCUUCGUGGUCGGUGGUGCUGUUGCUACUUGUUUGCGACGUGAUGUCGUUAGUGGUGGUAUCUGCCGCUUCUUAGUGUUGCUGCAGUGGUGUGUUACCUCUUGUAAAGUUCGGUGAGUGUGACGGUAAUAGUUCAGGUUAUCUCGACCAAAGUCUCUUUCACUGUGCUUAAUCCUCUGUAAGCUGGUCGGGAGAAUUCAUGCUGUCAUAGUGUGCAUCGUCUUGUGCGAACGUGCGUUGGUGCAUUCGAGGAUCUUGUGCGAGAGGUUGUGCAAGACAUGCGAGUGAGGGUGUCGAGGUUGGUUGGGCGGUGCGAAGUCGCGCGUUGUGCAACGAAUUGUGCGAGGUUAGUGCAACGAGCGACAAAUUGUCGUUGCUGCUGUCGUCCUUGGCGUGCACGAGUGCUCUGGUUGUGCGAAGCAAGGUGUUUGAGACUUGAGGCUGGCUGGGGGUGCGAAGCAAGGUGCGCGAGUGCUGUUGUCGUGCUUGGCGCGCGAAGUUUGUUUCAAGGCUCGAGGCUGGUUACGUGGUUGUCGGAGUCGGUUGCCGGUGUUUGACGCUGGCGAGACGGAGUGGUAUAAAAAAAAUAUGUAUAUAAUAUGAUUUUCCUUUUAAGUACUUAAUAUUGUAUAAUAUGAAUUGUAUAAUAUUAAGUUAUAGUUUAAUUAAGCUGUAAUUAGAGUAUAUUAUUAAUUAACUAAGUUUGUAAAAUUGAUUUAAGUUGUAAAUCUGAUUAAGUUCUGUAAGUAUAAGUAAGGUAUAAAGUUAGUAAAAGAAAUCAGAUUAGUAGUUAUAGUUGUAACGUUAUAAUAACCUUGUUAUUCAGAUCUGUUUUUUGGUAGUACUUGGAUAUAAGGAUUUAAGUGGAGUUGGUGAAGGUAAUAUGUUAUUAAGCUAACAAAAAACAGCUUUGCACAUUGUUAUAAAUAUACCGCAAGUGCACGGUGUCUGUUUAGCGGAAACUGGCAAAUACGGGUCGAUCCACAGGGAGAGGAGUGCUACAGAUUUGUGCUCAAUCAUCUAACUACUUUAAGAGAGGAAAUGAUUGAAGAAUUAAUGACUAAACUAGAAUUAACUAGAACACAGAAAGAUGGGAAUUUAUCAAAUAAUUAAAAGCCUAUGGCAAUCGAUCGGUCCACCAUGCUUAUACCAAUUUAAUCACUACAAUAUAGUUUAACAAUACUUGGAUUGAUGUUCGAAUAAAUAGGGUAUUUCGUUAAUCCUUGGACAGGCAUUAACAACUCUUAGAUUUAACAUAUGCCAGUACGGUCGCUCAACAUAAUCAAAUCUACCUAUUGUAACUAGCCUCUAAUUUUACGAUCUUUCGAUUCUAAUUCUUAUUAGCUAAACAUAACACAUGAUAUUGCGCAAUUACAUGAAUUAAACAAGCAUAACAAAUCAACAGGAAUUAUUCUAAUUCAAUCCAAAUAUCAAAGAAUAUCAAACCACAAUCAAAAAGGUAUAAACAUGGCUUCCCUCUCUAAGCCCUAGAAAUAGAGUACUCACUCAUGAUAAUAAUAAACUCAAUAAACAUAAUCAAAGUAAAAGAAUUCAUUAAAUUAAACUAAGUAGAGAAGAAUACCGAAUGAUUGAAGAACAAUGAAAAGGAAAUCAACGAUCUCUAUAAUCUUCAAAAUCAAUAGUUAACACAAAGGUAGAGAGAGAAAAACUAAGUGUUUGGCCCUAAAAACGUAGAAAAUAAGAUAGUCUAAUCGAAAAUAGUAAAAACCUAUUUAUACUUUUUACAAAACCGACUAAAAAAAGCGAAAAAACACGUCUUGAGAAACCGCCCGGUCGGCCUACGUUGAUUAAGAGUUACGACAGAAAAGCUAAAUCCGCCCGGUCGGGCGCGUAAGCGAUUUUGGCUCCUUUCUCGCCCGGUUGACCGGGCUCACAUGCCUUGCAUCUUGGUGAAAUUUUAAUUUCGCCCGGUCGCGUGAAACCGCCCGGUCAACCAGGCGACAAAAUUGCGAUUUUGCGUCAACUUGCAAAGGAUGUAUCUCUCAAACCAGAAGUCGGAUUGGGGCGUGUGACCUAUCAUUGGAAAUCCCUUGAAGUCUAGUUUCCAACCCAACCGGAAUAUUUUGAUUAUCAAUUGUCUAUAAAACGUUAUGGCCAAAAUAGUGAGCAGGUGUCAGUUUUGACACUUCGUUCACUAACUCUUUGCUUCAUUCUAACUCGAAAUUGCCCCGAACGGAUGCAUUGUGAUCCUUGUGCAAGAUAUCUUCAUCUUCAAUGAUUAAUAGGUUUGAUCUUAGGUAAUCAUAAUCAAUUUGCAUCAAAGUAACCUGAAAAAGAUCAAAACACGCAAACGGGGAGUAGUAGAGCACAACUUACGUAAUUCAUUUCAUUAUGCACCUAAGUGCUCUAAAAGGAGUUCUAAAUGCAAUCAAAAUGCAUCUAAAAACUAUAUAUAAAUGUGACAUAUCAAACUCCCCCAAGUUAAACCUUUGCUUGUCCUCAAGCAAACAAGACAUGAACAUGAAUAUGAUUGCUUCACCCUUUUAUAUAUGAAAACAGAGAUCAAAAUCUUUUAUAAAGCUCAUAAAUCAUUCAAGCAGGCACAAUUCAAGUUCAACUGUUUAGAUUACUUUAUUCACCAAUUGCCAAAAUAAGCAAUCAAAUGCGGCUGUCUUAUAUGACAUGCAAAUCUCGAAAAGGCACUCACUACGGUGUCACUCCUCUCAACAUUUUUUUGGCAGGCAAAAGAUGCGCCCGACCACUCACCAUCCCAACCAUAAUAACCCUUCCCACUCACACUCUCAUGUGUUUAGAAAGGUAAUAAUGCCACUCAUCCUAACCAUGUCGACUCAAGUAGCGAACGUACUCUUUAACCUUGACAAACUGACUCCACAUCAAUCCAAUAAACAAUGUAAGCACAAGCUCAAGAGGACUUUUUCAGGGUUGUAAUGGGGCUUAGUUAAGGGUAGGGAAUAUGUAUAGGAAAUGUGGUGGAAAAACCAAGAAUGGGGGAGAUAAAGUCACUAGAAGUAUCAACCAAAACAUAGCCAAUAACAAUGUCCCAAUUCUAUGAAUCAACAAAAUUUUCAAUAAACCCAUCCUUGAAGCAGUGUGAUGAAUUUUUUUCUUUGCAAGCAAUUGUGAACGAAAGAAAUUUUUAACUUUUUAUUCAUUUUUUUAAUCUUUCUUUUCCUUUUUCUUUGCAUCUUUUGGAUCCAACAAUCACAUGUAUUUCACUUUGCUUGUUCUUUUUUUUUCUCGAAUUUUGAAACUUAAUACAAUCAUCUCCAUCCAAAGUAACUCAUAAAGAUCAUCUUAGAUACUAACUUAGACAGAUGCUCCCCCAAGCUAGGCUUAGGAUUAAUAUCAAAAUAAGGACCAGAGCCAUGUAAUAAAGUUUAGUAACAUGAAAUAGUCAUUAGGCUAAGCGGGGCUAAGGAGGAUAAUAGUAUAUCGAAAAUAAUCACUCUGAGGCUCGAGAAUCAGACAAAAGAACGCCUCUAUCACAGCAAUUGCUACAAGUCAUCAGAUAUCAAUAAGUACGUUGUCAAAGUCGAGAUCAAUCAGCUAAUGAGGAACUAACACACAAGAAACAGAAUGGACAUAGAAAUAAACCCAUUGGCAAGAAAGAAUCCUCACAGUCUAACUAAUUCAAGUAUGCAGUCAAGAUAAGCGCGUUAUCAUCAAAACUCACUUAAGGUCAAGGCAUUUAGAGUUCACAUUCCAGUAUCACAAUCUCAAGUACCCAGUUAUUCAGAUAAAGAGCCCAAAUAUACUUUCAAAGAACGUCAUGGGGCACAGGGAAGCAAUCACACCAAUCCAGUCAAAUCGUAUUUUUGGUAUUUUUUCGGCAAUAUUUAUUUUUUGUCUGAAAGCAAAUAAAUCUGGCCUAAGAAAGCAAAAAAUCGACACUAAAAGGUAGUAAAAGAGAGAGAAAAUACAUACAAAAAUCCUCCCCCAGGCUGAAUGUGGCAAUGUCCUCAGUGCCGCAAGAUGAACUAUACGACGAUGCUCAAAGGAUAAAUUAAUGUUAGUACUCUCUCGUUCUCUCACUCUCUAAAAUGGAAAAAAAAAGAAAAAAAAAAGAAAAGAGAUAAGAAGAAAAAACUACG